GAAUAAUGCAGUUGGUAGAGCAUGAGACUCUUAAUCUCAUGGUAAUAGGUUCAAGCCCCACUUUUGGGCA